AGUGAACGCUGGCGGUAGGCCUAACACAUGCAAGUCGAACGGCAGCACAGUAAGAGCUUGCUCUUACGGGUGGCGAGUGGCGGACGGGUGAGGAAUACAUCGGAAUCUACUUUUUCGUGGGGGAUAACGUAGGGAAACUUACGCUAAUACCGCAUACGACCUACGGGUGAAAGCAGGGGAUCUUCGGACCUUGCGCGAUUGAAUGAGCCGAUGUCGGAUUAGCUAGUUGGCGGGGUAAAGGCCCACCAAGGCGACGAUCCGUAGCUGGUCUGAGAGGAUGAUCAGCCACACUGGAACUGAGACACGGUCCAGACUCCUACGGGAGGCAGCAGUGGGGAAUAUUGGACAAUGGGCGCAAGCCUGAUCCAGCAAUACCGCGUGAGUGAAGAAGGCCUUCGGGUUGUAAAGCCCUUUUGUUGGGAAAGAAAAGCAGCAGGUUAAUACCCCGCUGUUCUGACGGUACCCAAAGAAUAAGCACCGGCUAACUUCGUG
rnacentral:rRNA from 1 species